AUAAGUGAUUGGUCAAAUAUAAGCCAAUUCGAUUUGAGGAAUGAUUGAAGAUUUCUUAUAUAUAUUCUGUUAGUGAAAUUUUGAUAUUUUAACAUUAAUUUGUAGAAGUCAAGAAUUAUUUACUUCUACUUUUUAAGGUUAGUAUGUGAGUGAUAAUAAACAAAUAACAAUUAAUACAAUCUAAAUGGCUACAAUAUCCUGGUUAAGUAUAUUAAGAGUGAGAUCGGUCUUACAACUCGAUCGUCAUUUAUUAAAUUUAUUAAAUAGUACUCACAAGCAAAAAACGAUAAGAAGAAACAUUUAUGUUUCUGAAAAAAACGAAGAAGAGGAGAAAAAGAAAGAACAAGCGAAGACAGAUAGCGAAUCUAAAAUAACACUUUUAUUACCAAACGAUUCUAUGACAAUUACGCAUUUGGAGGAUGCCAAGAAACUUGCGAAGCGUCGAAAUUUAAUAUUAACGAAAAUAGAAAAUAAACAAAAAGAUUCAUCUAGAGAUACGUACAAACUCGUAAAACUAGGAGAAAAAUUCUUAGAGACGACAGAUAAUGUUACAGAAAAUAAAAUUAAAGCAGACCGAAAUGGUAAAAUAAAACAGAUACAGAUAUCUGGUAAAAUUUCUACGCAUGAUCUCAAUAUAAAAUUAAAACAUGUCAAUAAGUUAUUAAGUAAACAGUAUAAGGUCAAGUUUAUCAUUAAUCAUGAUUCGGACACACAAGAUAGAAUAUUUAAAUAUGCAGAAUCUAAUAUAAAACAGCAUGGAACAAUACAAAAAAUCGUAAAAUCAUUGUAUACAACACUUAUAAUUACUCCUAUUUUAAAUGAAGAUAGCAAUAAGAAUCCGCAUGAUGUAAAUGUAAAUAUAAAGAAAAAUUGAUCAAUGAACUUCAAAUUUAUAUAAUAAACAUAUUUGUCCAUAUUGUAAUUAAAUAUUUUACAAGUAUGUAUCUAUUUAUAUUACAAGAAUAAAGUUUGCAAAGAAAGUGAUAAUAUAAAAAGGGAUUUGUUCAUUCAGUAUCCUUAACUAUGUAAUACUGCCACGGUUUAAAUUAAGUAAAAUACAAUAGAUAUUAGCUAGAAAUCAAAUUUGUUGAUAGUUCCACAAAUAACUGAGUGAAAAGAUUUAUUACGGACAU